CAGGACAUAAACUCACAGCUACUGUUCCCGUGCCAUACUGUCCUGCUGCCACAGUUCCACCAUGAUGGUCAUGGAUUCACCCUCUGGAACUGUUCCUUAGCUUACUCGGUGCAUGGAUGGCUAAUACAAGAUCAACCAUCAGCUCCACUUCUGAGGCAAGUCCAGAAAGCAAGUUCCUGGUUCCUGAGACAAGAAUGUUCCCUAACUUAGAAGUGGCCUCAAAUGCCAGCAAAGAGUAACUGUUGGGGCUGGAAGGGUGGCUCAGUGGCUAAGAGCACGUGCGGAGGAUCAGGGUUUGGUUCACAGCACCAGCAUGGCAGCCCACAACUGACUAUUGCUACUGGGCCAGGGGACAAAUGCCCUCUUCUGGCCUCUUUUGGUUCCUGCAUACACGUGGUGCACAGAAACGCAGGCAAAUGCACACACAUAUUAAAGAAGUCUUUCUUUUUUAAAAGAGGAA
rnacentral:sRNA from 1 species